UGGGCCCUGUCUACGGUAGCCCUUGUGACAUAUGUCUGCAUCUGUCACUUUGGGGAUGUGAUUUCCCUCUUUUUCUUGCACACUGCCCUAAUGGAAAAAUUGCAAUAUAUCACAGGGCCCAGCAAACCAGGUGAUGUGUCUCUUCUCAUUUGGCCUUGCCCACAGGGAGCACUGGAAUAUAUUGCUGGGCCCAGUGCCCAGGGGAUUUGACUCUUUUGCGAGUUCCCUGCUCUCAGAAGGGCAUCGUAACAUAUCUUUGGCCAGGCACCUGGGUGAUGGGACUCUCCAGCUGGGUCCAUGCUUUCAUGGAAGACUGUGACAUAUCCCUGGCAGAGAGGCAGUCGAUGUGUCUCUCUGCUUGCUCCAUGCUCACGGAUGGGAUUGUGAAACACAUCUUAGCCCAGCUCACAUAUGCAAUGAGGACUGUUGUAUCUUGAGCCAGCCAAUAAGAGUGAUACCACGUAUGUUAGGUAACCUUAAGGAAAUGGGUAAGAUUCUGGGUCUUCUCUUUAUACUAAGGUCAUAGAGGAUUACCACUCUUUUGCAUGUUGUAUAAAACCUUCAUUUUGUGCAGAGAAUGUUAUCACAGAGCCCAGCAAAAAUAUGAGACUGUGGUUUUUGUAUGCACUCUCCACCAAGUGCUAGGAUUGUCACCCUUUAAACAUGGAAAGAACCCACUGGUGAGGUCCUUAAUCUCACAGCUGGGCACAGUCCAUAGUUGGAAUAGUGACUGUCAUAUGUAAUCGUCUGGCUAAAGUUGGGAUGGUGACUCAUUUCUAGAUCAUAGGCAGGCAAGACCUCUCAUAUCUGAACCCAACCAAUUGGAGAAAUGUUGACUGUCAUACUUGGGCUUAGUGCUACAGGUUCAAACAUGGGUCUAUACCAGCAAGAAGGUCUCAGUGGAUUUCCAACUCUCAUGCAUACCAUAUAAAACCCUCAGAUAAUACAGAGGGUGUCUUAACAUGGCCCCACACAGAGGCAACAUUGUGACACUUGUAUGCACACCCAGCCAACAGUAAAGAUUGUUAUCCUCACACAUGAAUGCAGCCCCCUGUUGAGGUUUGGAAUCUGACACCCAGAAAGAGUCAGAAGUUGGAAAAUUGACUCUUGUGCAUGGAUUUCAUCCAUAGGUGGGUUGGUGUCCCUGAGACCAACAUUCAGCAUACCUGUGAGCCUGUGACUCCACUAAAACAGUCUGCACAAAAAAAUUGAGGCACUAAUUCACAGAUGCAGUUCACUACUGAAACUGUGACUCCUGUACUUAGUCUCAACAUACAGGUGGUGUUUACUCUCGUAUUGAAAACUGGGAUGUGUUUGGGAGUGUUAAUCUCAUCUAUGGACCUUUGUGCAGAUGCAACUGUGACAUAUGCCUCUGCCCAUCACCUGAUUUGACUCUUCUGCCUGGGACCAGACAACAGAUGGGACUGUGACAUCACUGGACCUAGCAUUUAAGUUCUGUGACUCUCCUGUCUGUGCACUGCCCACAUGGAUUAUUGUGACAUAUUGCUGGGUCCAACAGCCAGGUCUCUGCUCACAGGGGGGAUUUUGAUGUAUUGCUAAGUCCAGCACCUAGCUAAUUUGUACCCAACCUACAGUGAGCAGUGACUCUCAUACCAAGAACCAGGAAAGGUGUGAGAUUGGUAGUCUCGUCCCUGGACCUCCUGCAGAAGAAAACUCCAAAUGGCGCUGCAAACAGAACCACCUGUGGACAUGUCAUUCUUCCGAGAACACUUAAAUAAACCUCAGGAGGAGUCUCAGCUGCUGUUCCCCCACACGACACCCCUUUUCAGCAGGAAGCAGCCAGAAAGAUUCAUUGUCCAACACCCUCAAUAGCAGUUAGAAUACCAUCUUCUGAGGGGUGAAUAAUGUAGGAGUUAAAUAUAUAUAGGAGUUAAAAAAAUUAUUUUAGGCAGUUAGCAAGGGUAAAAGAGUUCUUGGUGGAAUUUUCCUUCAGUGAAAAGCAACCAAAAAACCAUUUCUUUUCUAAAAGAAAGCAGACUGAAAAGUCAAACUGCAAGCAUAGAUAAGCAAGCUGGAAGUUAGCAUGUAUAAAUGCCGGCAGCUAUACUAAAAGCCAAGUACACUCAAAAUGGUGAUUCCCUCUCCGUAUACUUUGUCACCAUGCGUGUGGGUGUCAUGGUACCGGCCAGGUAGAGGCCACAUUUGCAUAAUGAGAUUAGUGUGGGAGGGCCAGUUUCCUUGUGUGCUAAGUAAAUGCCACACCUGGUCAAACCAAUUUCCUGGGCCAUGUAUAAAUCAAUCACCACCUCCUCAAGCCUCUCUAUAAAAUUGAUCACAUUCUGCUCCAAACCUGGAAACCUGCUAUGGUGACCUACUUUCUCCGCAGGAGGAGGCUCUCUCCCUCUCUCUCCUGUCUUUUGUGUAUUAA